CGGCCUCUCUCCCGCCGGCGAGGGUGGGGGGACCCUGCCGAGGCUCCCGGGCCUCGUCCACUGUCGCACGCGCACGGGGCCCGUGCGGGCCCGCGGACAGCGCGUGCACGGGCGCCGCGCCUCGCCGCAGCACAGCGAGGGCUCAGCGCGCGGCGGGUCCCACGCGUCGCUCACGCCCGCUGGGACCUCGUGCCACCCCGAACCCAAGCGGGAGGGGACCGUCGGGCGCUGGGCCGGGUUGGCGCGGAGACCUGGAGACUUGGGAAUCUCUGAAUAUACAGCACUGCCCUUCUGUCCUGGUCCCCACAUGUAGUCUGCAGUGGCCAGCUGGGUGCAUGGCUGGGCCAGGGGACGUGGAGGCGGGGGUCGACACGGAGCACAGGCAAGAAGGCUGGGGGCACGCUGCUUGGAGGGCCCAGACCUAGCCACGUCUCAGAAGCCACAUCUCACCAACUGCCCAAGAGGAGUUGGUGUCCCAGCCAUAAUCUCAUUUGGCCCUCACCCCAGGGCCUCAGAUGACCUGUCCAACAUCCCACAGAAAACUUCGAAGCCCCCCAGACUGAUGGGCCCUGACAACAUUGGUGCCUGGGGCUCAGACCCGACCCUGCCAGUCAGGGGCUGAGGACCGCUGGGACUGUCUCUGAGCCCUCUCACCUCUGUCUGCCAGGUCAGGCCCCGUCCCCGUCCCCCCUGUACCCCCGCCAGGCCCCUCACUUCUCCCCACCCGUGGAGCAGCUGUGGCUCUAAGCCCUCAGCCCUUCUUUGGCAAGUAGCUUGGACCCUGGUUGGGGUCUAAGAGUUGGGUCCCGUCACUCCCUUGUGUCUGAGAGCUGGGUCCUGCGAUGGCGGUG